UAACUGAGAGCUUUGGGUGGUGUAGACAUGACAUGAUGCCAAGAGCCAGAUCUUGUAGAGACUUUUCAGAAGAUCCAGUGGUUAAGACUCAACACUUUAAAUGAAAGCAGGGAGAGUUCAAUCUCUGGUUGGGCAACUAAGAUCUCUGGAUGCCACAAGGUAAGGCUGAGAAAAUAAGAAGAGCCAGAUAAUGGGUCACAGAGCACAUUUACACAAAUGCCUUCCUGUGAGGCAUUCAGACCUAGAGAAAGCCAGGUCAAGAGAUGUAGGUGGCCAGGCUAUGCCCUGGAUCCCAACUCAUCUGCUUCUAACCACAAGAUCCUGCUACAGCAGCAAAUUCAGUUCAAAUAUUUGCAAACAUAUUAUAGAAAACAUCACUUGACUCUGAUACAAUCAUGGAGGCCAGAAAUGAGUUUUCCAGGCUUUUGCCUCCUCUCCAUCCUGUCCUUUGACAGCCCUUUGCUUUUUCCUGCCACAGUCUCCAGUCUCCAGGGAGGGGAAAUGGGAAUUAGUAUUUUUAUAAGUAUCUUUAUAUUUAAUAUUCUUGAUUGUGCAUUGUUAAUGAAAUUACUAUCAAUGGGUCAGAGUGCCAAUGCACCCUCUACUCUUAUGUGCUCAAGCCUAGACGAAUCCUUUCUGCUUCUAGCUGGAAUGAGUGUGGGCAGGGAAAAGACACAACUCAGAAGUCUUUCAGUGUGUGUUCAUAGCCUACUUCUGCCAUCCUCUAUCCAUGGGAACUUGGGCAUGUUACCUUGCCAUGCUCUUUGAGCCUCAGUUUUUACUUUUGUAAAAAUAAAGCUAAUACAUAUUUCCUUGUAUUACUGCAAAGAUUAAACUGGAGUUUCUGUGCAGUCCAAUAAACCAUAGCUGUUUUUAUUUCUGGGCACUGUCUUUGGAGAAUUGCAUGCUACAUUGGCUGUUUGGAAUCCGGUGCAGAGAAUCCUGGGCUAUAAACUAUACAGCACUGGCAAUAUACAGGUAAACAGUCCUGGAACCACCACCAUUUACCUCACUCAUCUCUCUGUAGGUAUAGUACAGCUAGAUGAAUGGAAUUAAGUUAUUCUAUGGCUGUCAGUUCCAACUAAAUGUGAUACAUUCUUAUCAGAUAAAUGAAAAGUGAGAUUUUUGCAAGUAAGGAGCAAAGAAGAAUUGAAUAAUUGGUAGUGGUGAUUAUGAUGAUUAAAGCAUUAAAAUGGUAUCGGCCUCAUGCCUUUAUAGCACUUAAAGGCUUACUUGUCUGCAGGAGGAUAAUAUUCCUCCCUGAGUUCCAGUUCAAAAUUAAGCUCUCUGCAACCUUCCAUUUUUACCUCCAGGCAUUCCUCCCAGCUUCCCUGCUUCAGGUGUCUCUUCCCAAGGCCUUUUGUCAUGCUCAAGAAUAUGCUUUCAGAAACUGUUUCUGGUGGCUGCAUCCUCUCUAGGCGCUGGGUCCUGGCUGGUCCAUGUUAAUCCUUUCAACCCCCUUGGGAGCCCCAUAAGUAUCCACAAACCAUCCUCUGGCCACCUCUCUGGCUUCUUCAUUGCCUUAUGAUCCUGCCUGUAGCUUUUGAGUUUUUACCCUAGUCUUUUCCUCCUAAUAAUCCUCCCACUCUUCCCUUACCUCAGUUAGUCAGCCACAUCUUAAGUCAUCAAACAAAUAAUUGUAUUUCAGGAUGCCAAUUUGCACUGUGGUCACUCCUGCUGCAUUGAGGACUGGCUACUCUUAAAUCCACACUCUUCUCCAUGGCCACACAUGAUUAAUGAUGUAAAGUAUCUCUUUUUUCACAAACUCAGUCCCAGGAAAUGGCUACCCUGGCUUUUGGUGGGAUGCAGUUCUGACGCAGACAGGCAGGGCAGGGGUUCCCUCUGUGAAGGGAGAAGCAUGGGCUGGGGGUAAGAUAUGGGUCAUGGAAGGAAGGUGAGUAACGCUGGAGGUGUGUGUCAGGCUGUCACAUCUGUACCUGGUUAAGCUGAGAGUGACGGACCAUGGAAGGUGUUUGGGCCUUGAAAUAUCCAGGAAGAGGGGAGCAGAGAACUGGAAGCUGGUAACUGAAAGAUUCGGCCUGACCUUCUGCCAUAGUCAAAAGAGCAAACAUUGUCUACAUAGCCCUCUUUGACACGGGGCCAACUUCUCCUCUUACACCUCAGAUGGGAGCCAGUGCUGUGAGAGUCCUGCCCUGCGCCCAACUCCAAGGUCCCUCCCGGCUGCGGUGAAAGCAGCAGCCGGGUCCCAGCCUCACCUGUGCCCACGCCUACCUGGCAGGCCCAGGAUGGUGAGGAACCAUAUGAAGACCAUGUGGCAAGCAGACACAGAAGUUCCACAAAAGGCCAUGAGGAGGAAACAGGCAGGCUGGACCAGAGACCCUGACCUGGUUACUGCGAGGCCUAGCAUCUGCUCCUGACCCUGUCCCUAACAUGCUGUAUGCUGGGCGAUUGGGGCAAAUGGCUCCGCUUAUGUAGAUUACAGUGUUUUCAUCUGUAACAUGAACAGGAUAAGCUGAAACACUUCAGAGCCCUUUCAGGUGUCACACACUGUUCUCCUCUAUGUUUUGCAGAACAGUCUUUACUACAGUUGGUCAAAAUGUCAGGAAUCACCAAAACAGAGACUUGGCCAGCCAUCAGCCAGUGUGUUUUGUCGACAUAAUUUGAUUUUAGAAUUACAUUAGAGAAUUGAUGGACCUGCUACUUCCUGUGGGUGGUAUGUGUCUGGCGUCUGAAUUCAGACACAUUUUAGCCAGAUGUUCCUUGAAUCUGGAUGUCAAGGCCCUGAUACACACCCACACACAUCUAUACCCCAAUCUCUAGCCUAUACAUGUUCUCCAGGAAACAAGCCUGUGCAUCUGGACAUUUCAAUGUUAUCUUGGGUGCACCCAGUCACCACUCCCAUGGCUUUAUUCCCAGCAAACACAGAAAGCAAAUAUGCAAGGUCUCCCCUCUGAUUUGAAUGGAGGCAACACUCCCCUCAACUGCACACCUUGCUUUAGGUUCUGUGAUCAGGGUUUGCACGGUAAGAAGAAUGAGCCAGAAAGCCCCAAAGAAGAGAGUAGGCAAGAGUUAUACGACUUAGGUGAAGUCCUGUUGGUGGCUCUGUAACUCCUGAACUGAGCUAUAAGGCCAAGUCUAAAAGGUGGGGAGGGGGCAGCUAGAAGUGACCCUGGUCUCUGCGGGUGGACGGGGAUCAACCAAUUAGAUUGGAAAAUGUUGGAAUAAUUCAGGAAUGAUUCUGCCACUGUUUCUGUGGACAGAGCUCAUUUCACUCUUAUUUCAAUUAAAAGUUAGGCUUUUUAUUCACAAAGAUUUAUAAGAGUUUGGUUUCCAGUUGUCCAUUUUAUGACACUUGUUUACAGCCUCACUCCCAUCAUUGACCACCCAAAUGUAGAUUGAAAAUGGCAAAAUUAAAAAGAAAAGGUUAUUAUAGUUACCUAGUUUCAUUCAUGACAGUUUUCCCUCUCAUUUUCCUAUGAAAAUGUUUUUAUGCAAAAUUUCAAGACAGAAUAAAAAGAUAUUCAGG